rnacentral:lncRNA from 1 species
AGAACCAAAAUCGUCACCUUCAAAACUAUUUUUUUUAAUCCUGUUGUGUUUCUUCAAUCUGUUAAUACAAUAUUGUUUUUUUUCCAAUCGAUUUUACAAUCAACUCUUUAUAUCCCAAAACAAUAAUAAAAUAAAUAAUAAAAAUCCAAAAAAUCCCCCUUCACCAAAAACAAUCGGCCCUCUUUUUAGCCGAAUUUUUACAAGUCAAAAU